rnacentral:lncRNA from 12 species
GACUUACAGACAGCUUGUGUAACUCUUCAGCAGCGAAAUAUGAUGCCUCACCAGCAGCUUACACACGCUUUAGCUUUCUAGAUAGAUAGAUAGAUAGAUAGAUAGAUAGAUAGAUAGAAUAUUCUCAGCUUGCAAAAAUAUGUAAUUGUCAGCAACUACUAAUGAAAGCUCUUUUGUGCAUCUGAUGUGGUUGGAAAAGGUCAUAAAAAUGAAUGGGCGAAUGUAGAACCAGAUAAAAGGAAAUGUUCGACAGGAUCAGUUCGCGGGAAACUUCCGGUUGACCAGUGUGUGUGUGUGUGUGCAACGUGUGCAGCUUGAACUGGUGGGUGCACAAGAGCACGUCAUUUUCGCGGUAAUAUCUUGCAACUGGCAAUGCAACAACAACAGCGCUCUGCAGAAGAGUCGGAUUAUGAAAAUGUUUGUAAAAACAUGGCAACGUAGUUUUUUAACCUUUUUAGCACUGUGUUGGACCUCCUUUAAGGCGAUGGUUUGCAGUAAAGUGAGAGGGGGAAACUUUAAAAGAAGUUCAGCUCUCAGUUGAAGAAACGGCGCCAUUUCUUGAUGUAAGCACUGUACGACCAUGGGAUUAUGGUAAAGGUGGAGGUAUUAUCAGGACGGUUUAGACAGGUGAGACACAUGAUGAC